GCGCAGCAGGCGCGAAAACUUUACAAUGUGCGAAAGCACGAUAAGGGAACUCUGAGUGCCUCCUAAGGAGACUGUUCUGAUGUCUAAAAAAGCAACAGAAGUAAGGGCUGGGUAAGACCGGUGCCAGCCGCCGGCGGUAACACCGGCAGCCCAAGUGGUAGCUGCGUUUAUUGGGUCUAAAGCGUUCGUAGCCGGCCAGGUAAGUUCCUUGGUAAAUUUAGCCGCUU
rnacentral:rRNA from 1 species